rnacentral:rRNA from 1 species
AUUGAACGCUGGCGGCAGGCCUAACACAUGCAAGUCGAGCGAGCGGCGGACGGGUGAGUAAUGUAUGGGAAUCUGCCUGAUGGAGGGGGAUAACUACUGGAAACGGUAGCUAAUACCGCAUACUAUCGGAUGUGCCCAUAUGGGAUUAGCUAGUAGGUGGGGUAACGGCUCACCUAGGCGACGAUCCCUAGCUGGUCUGAGAGGAUGAUCAGCCACACUGGAACUGAGACACGGCCCAGACUCCUACGGGCGGCAGCAGUGGGGAAUAUUGCACAAUGGGAGAAAGCCUGAUGCAGCCAUGCCGCGUGUGUGAAGAAGGCCUGCGGGUUGUAAAGCACUUUCAGCGGGGAGGCGUUACCCGCAGAAGAAGCACCGGCUAACUCCGUGCCAGCAGCCGCGGUAAUUC